UCAGAUCUGUCAAAAUGAGAGAGAUCUGUCUGAGUCUGCUUGGACUGCCGUAACAAAAUAGCAUAGACUAAGAGGCUUAAGCAACAGAAAUAUAUCUUCUCACAGUUCUGAAGGCUAGAAGUACCAGGUCAAAGUCUGGCAAGGUUUCUUUUUCUGGCUUGUAGACAAUGGCUGCCUUCUUGCUGUUUGCUCACAUGGUCUUUCCUUGGUGUGUGUGUGUGUGUGUGUGUGCGUGUGUGUGUGUGUGUGUGAGAGAGAGAGAGGGAGAGAAAGAGAGAGAGAUUGUUGCCUCUUAUUAUACUGACACUAAUCUCAUCAUGAGGAUCCGAACUUCAUGAUUCAUCUGACCCCAAUUUCCUCCUAAAAGCACCAUUUCUAAAUACUGUAACAUUGGGGGUUAAAGUUUCAACAUAUGAAUUUGGAUGGGGCAAAAACAUUUGUUCCAUCAUAAGGUCCAUAGAGUUAGUUUCCUUCAAAGAAAAUACUCAUAGCACAAUUAGAUUUUGGGUAAAUACUACUCACUUAUUUGGUCACAGUGCUGACAUGCCGGACCUACUGUUGAGUCUCAUACAUAAUGGAACUGUUAACUAGGACUCCGUUGGCCAAAACUCAAUGUAUCCAAUUAGAAUAUAGAAUUGGAACUGGAAUUUAUUAAACCAAAAUUGCGUAUUACUUAUUUUUAAAUAUAACCCCUCAUUCAACAUGAGUAGACAGAGUGAUUAAUAUGUUAAAUAUUCCCUUAUAAAUGCUGAAAUACAAAGAAUUAGAGGGUCCAUUUUUUGAGAAGCUCACAGUCUAGUUGGAGAAACAAUUAUAAAGAAGAAAAACAUUAAUAAUACAUGUUAGAAUAGCUGUAAGAUCAGGGUAUUAUGGGAAUUGAAAGGGAGAGUUUAGAGAAGUUAUAGAGUUUACAGAGAACCCUCUGAAUCAGGUCCACUGUGCACUGGUUACCAGCUUCUCAGAGUCUGGCCAGGCAGAACAGGCCCCCACACAAGAAGUUACAUGAAGUGUAUUUAUUUUUUACAGAUAGGCAGCAAGGAACAACAGAGAUUUAGGGUUCACUGUGAGCCAGUUCCCCAACACCCAGGACAGCUUCCCAGGGAAGACGGAGUCUCGUCUGCCUGUGCUCCACUUGUACAGCAGGAAUGUGCCUUUGAAGCCCUAAGCUGCCAUAUAUAUGGCUACUGUGAACACGCUGGCUACUGUGCUACAAAGAUCACACGGAGAGAACAGAUACAGAGAAACAGAGAGAGAUUCCUGGGGAACCCUAGCUGCUUCAGUUCCUAGCUUUUGAGGCAUCCCAAACCAGAGGCCAGAUGCGUGAAUGAAUGAGCUCUUGGAUGAUGGCAGCUGCAACCUUUUAGUCUUCUAGCUGAGGCCCCACACACUGUAAAACAGAGAGAAAAAAAAACCCAGUGUCUUGUCUGAAUUUCUGAAACACGAAAUUUAUGAGCAUAAUAAAUGGUUGUUUUACACCA